CCAGGGAAGCGGCCAGGGCCAGGGAAGCGGCCAGGGUCAGGGCCAAGGACAGGGUCAGGGCCAUGGAAGCGGUCAGGGCCAGGGUGGCGGGCAGGGCCAGGGAAGCGGCUAUGGCCAGGGAAGUGGUCAAGGGAGCGGUCGGGGAUGUGGUUAUUGAAAUGGUCAUGGGAAUUUUGCAUUACACUUACUGGAGAUCUUUUCAAUUCAGUGCUUUAUUCAUAUGGCAUGUUUUCCCUGUUUGCUCAAACAGUUUAGAAAAUUCUUUCCCCCUCACCUCCUCAAAUAAAAAUAAUUGCUUGAUU